rnacentral:rRNA from 2 species
GUCGAGCGGACAGAUGGGAGCUUGCUCCCUGAUGUUAGCGGCGGACGGGUGAGUAACACGUGGGUAACCUGCCUGUAAGACUGGGAUAACUCCGGGAAACCGGGGCUAAUACCGGAUGCUUGAUUGAACCGCAUGGUUCAAUUAUAAAAGGUGGCUUUUAGCUACCACUUACAGAUGGACCCGCGGCGCAUUAGCUAGUUGGUGAGGUAACGGCUCACCAAGGCAACGAUGCGUAGCCGACCUGAGAGGGUGAUCGGCCACACUGGGACUGAGACACGGCCCAGACUCCUACGGGAGGCAGCAGUAGGGAAUCUUCCGCAAUGGACGAAAGUCUGACGGAGCAACGCCGCGUGAGUGAUGAAGGUUUUCGGAUCGUAAAACUCUGUUGUUAGGGAAGAACAAGUACCGUUCGAAUAGGGCGGUACCUUGACGGUACCUAACCAGAAAGCCACGGCUAACUACGUGCCAGCAGCCGCGGUAAUACGUAGGUGGCAAGCGUUGUCCGGAAUUAUUGGGCGUAAAGCGCGCGCAGGCGGUUUCUUAAGUCUGAUGUGAAAGCCCCCGGCUCAACCGGGGAGGGUCAUUGGAAACUGGGGAACUUGAGUGCAGAAGAGGAGAGUGGAAUUCCACGUGUAGCGGUGAAAUGCGUAGAGAUGUGGAGGAACACCAGUGGCGAAGGCGACUCUCUGGUC